GACCGCGUAGCUCAGUUAGCAGAGCAUUGGGCCUAAUGCUCAGUUGGCAGAGCAUUGGGCCUAAACUAGCCCAAUGCUCUGCCAACUGAGCUAUGCGGUCAGGUCGGUUUGAGUAUGUCCAAAGGUCAUUGGUUCGAUUCCCACCGUGGACA